GACGAACGCUGGCGGCGUGCUUAACACAUGCAAGUCGAACGGAAAGGCCCCUUUGGGGGUACUCGAGUGGCGAACGGGUGAGUAACACGUGAGUAACCUGCCCUUGACUUCGGGAUAACUUCAGGAAACUGGGGCUAAUACCGGAUAGGAAUCCUUGCUGCAUGGUGGGGGUUGGAAAGCUUCGGCGGUUUUGGAUGGACUCGAGGCUUAUCAGCUUGUUGGUGGGGUAGUGGCUUACCAAGGCUUUGACGGGUAGCCGGCCUGAGAGGGCGACCGGCCACAUUGGGACUGAGAUACGGCCCAGACUCCUACGGGAGGCAGCAGUGGGGAAUAUUGCACAAUGGGCGGAAGCCUGAUGCAGCAACGCCGCGGGCGGGAUGACGGCCUUCGGGUUGUAAACCGCUUUCAGCAGGGGCGAAGCUUGUGGUGACGGUACCUGCAGAAGAAGCACCGGCUAACUACGUG
rnacentral:rRNA from 1 species